rnacentral:snoRNA from 1 species
AAGACUCUACUUUCAGGGAUCAUUUCUAUAGUCCAUUCCUAGAGAAGUUUCUCUGAAAGUGUACAGCAGCAGUCCCCAGUCCCUGGG